UUGUCUCAGAUAUCCCACUGAACCUUGACUCAGAUAAUCACUCCUUGAAAAUCCACUCCAUCUCAACAUUCUCCACCGACAACCGCCCACCAUCGCCGUCACAGGCCUUGCCAUCGCCGCCUAUCGCUCUACACGCACAUCUGUCUUCUUUUCUACACGCUCUACCUCAGAUCUAGGUCGAAUCCACGCCAGAUCCACUCAGAUCCAGCUUUUUGAGCUGCCUGGACUACCUUCCUCUUGCUCUUUGCUUAUCCAUACUGCUUUUCGCUGGUCUUACAUUGAGAAUUGGGAAGGAUGGAAUCGAACCUUCACGAGCUGAGAUUUUUCUCAAAAUUCAUAAAAGGCGUAAGGAUGGUAGACCAUUGGAUGAGGAAUCUCCAAAAGCAGUGGAAUUAAUUGAAGAGAAGUUGAACAAUGGCGAGCUAUCUAAUGAAGAAUCCAAUAAUCGUGUUGCUUGGGAAGGAGAUGUUUAUUCUCAAGUAUUGGAAAGUGAUAGAAAUGGUUACGUACGGGGUUUAGGACUUGGUCCAACACCUUCUUUAUUGUGGGGUAAUAAAUCAUGUUAUGGUAAAUUUGUUUCGGAUGCAUUUGCUAAUGAGGUUGCUCAAAAAUUACAACAAGAAAUAAAGGUGCUAAAGAAGAAACAUGAAGAAGAAAUGAAGUUGAUGAAAGAAAAUCAAAAUAAAAUGUUGGCUGAAUUAUCUUUUAUGAGACAAGUUUUGUGUAAGUUUGUUUCAACAGGUUCAUCUAUGACUCAAGAUUUCAAUGAAAAUUCUUUUAUGUAGGUAAUUUUUGAAAUUUGAAAUUUUUUCUUGUGAUCUGUUUUCUUUUAUUUGACAUUACUGUAUUGAUUAGGUUCCUGAUGCUAUUAGUGGUCAUGAGUUAGCAUCAUGCAGCACUUGAAAUCAGGUUUGAUGCUAAUAGUUAUUUUCUUGAAAGACUAUAUCUUCUAUUAUUGUUUGAAUCCAGCACUAAUUAACUAAUACCAUACAUAAUAUUAUACCAACUGUUCAUUAAAAUUAUCAUAAAUAAUAUUUAUUUGAGUCCAGCACGCUCUAGUUAGUGCAUUGUGCAUAUAGACAAAGAAGUCUAAAAUUAUCAAAAAUUUUGCCUGGCUCUUGUUAGAGAAACUUUCUAUUUUAUUUUUGCGAUAAUCUUUCAACACGUGGUUUGCAGACAUGCCUUGUUUCCUAGAUUGUCGCUUUCUGUUCUCCCAUUCAGAUGAGGUACCUGAAUCUAUGCACUCGUAAUAAAUAGAUAUAAUGGAAUCUGUUCUCACAUAAUGCACCUGUUUCUUAUUCAGGCUUUUCUCACCAUGCAUUAGAACAUUAACUUUAACUUAAAUUUCAAUUUGUUAUGCAGAUGGUGUUAUACUGCUGUGGGACUCAUAGUUGGUGGCUUUUUCUAGCAUUGGCCUAGAACAAUUGAGCAUAUUUUGGCUUCUUUUUUUUAUUUUCUGCAAAAUGUAUUCAAAGUCAAUGAAAUGACAAACAAACCUCUAUUAUGUAUUGAUAAAUAUCGCUUUUAACAUUUUAUUUUGUCAAAAGGAGCAUUUUAAUAGAAAAUUUA